rnacentral:sRNA from 1 species
UCAUAAACCUGAUUGCAGCGAACAUACCGAUCCUUCAUCGGUAUAAAGCGCAAAGCGGGGCUGAAA